GUGAGAUGUGGAUGUGUUGCGGAAUGGGCAAUCCGCUGUUGAAGAGCCUCACCAUCGUCCCCCAAACCCGCCAACACCGCCGGGAUUUUAGCGGCGGCGGGAGGCCUACUCAAUGCCCAAUCUGAUCCAGCCUGACCACUUUCUUAACUAACUGUAAGGAACCUCGAAAUACAGGACGUAACAGCCCAUCCAGUUCAAUCCUGAGGUGCCAUGUCCGUCCGAGGCCUCGUCCACGGAGAUCUUCACCACUUUAAUUUGCCAGCCUUGAGUGAACGUCAGCUGCUCAGGAUGCGAACGGGUGCACGCUCUUUUCCGCACGACGGACGCCCGAUGAUGACUCGAUCGCACGAUAAAGUUUGCCGACGUUACUGCAUUGCUUUUGGCUGAUGUGCUCCGUGACUGUGU